rnacentral:rRNA from 1 species
AAAGGGAGCAAUCCUAAGUAAAGUGGCGCACGGGUGAGUAACACGUGGAUCAUCUACCUUUUAGUGGGGAAUACCUCUGGGAAACCGGAGACAAUACCGCAUAAGCCCGCAAGGGGAAAGCAGCAAUGCGCUGAAAGAGGAGUCCGCGGCCGAUUAGCUAGUUGGCGGGGUAACGGCCCACCAAGGCGAAGAUCGGUAGCCGGCCUGAGAGGGCACACGGCCACACUGGCACUGAAACACGGGCCAGACUCCUACGGGAGGCAGCAGUGGGGAAUCUUGCACAAUGGGCGAAAGCCUGAUGCAGCGACGCCGCGUGAGCGAUGAAGCCCUUCGGGGUGUAAAGCUCUUUCGACGGGAACGAUAAUGACGGUACCCGGAGAAGAAGCUGCGGCUAACUACGUGCCAGCAGCCGCGGUAAUACGUAGGCAGCGAGCGUUGCUCGGAAUUACUGGGCGUAAAGAGUGUGUAGGCGGUGUUCCCAGUCUGUUGUGAAAUCUCCCGGCUUAACUGGGAGGGUGCAGCGGAAACUAGAAUGCUAGAGGGUGGGAGAGGUAAGCGGAAUUCCUGGUGUAGCGGUGAAAUGCGUAGAUAUCAGGAGGAACACCUGUGGUGUAGACAGCUUACUGGACCACUUCUGACGCUGAGACACGAAAGCGUGGGUAGCAAACAGGAUUAGAUACCCUGGUAGUCCACGCCCUAAACGAUGCAUACUUGGUGUGAGCGAUUCAUUUCGUUCGUGCCGGAGCUAACGCGUUAAGUAUGCCGCCUGGGGAGUACGGUCGCAAGGCUGAAACUC